GAAGAUGAUGGCGGCGGCGGCCCUGCUGGUCCUGGCGGUGGCGGCGGCGACGACGGCCGAGGCGAGGAACAUCAAGACGGCGGAGAAGAAGGACGACGCGGUGGUGCAGCCGCAGACCUUCCCGCCCUUCGACCGCCUCGGCGGCGGCCUCCCCGGGGCCGGAGGCAGCAGCAUCCCGGGGUUCUCCAUGCCCGGCAGCGGCGGGCUCACCCCGGGCUUCAGCCUCCCCGGCUCCGGCAGCAUCGGCAGCAUGCCCCUCUUCGGCGGCGGCGGCUCCCCCUUCAGCGGCUUCGGAGGCAUUCCCGGCUCCCCCGCCGCCGGCGGCUCCGUCCCCGAGCACUCCAACAAACCCUGAAGAAGCUCGCCGGAGAGCGUGGCCAGCGUGGUGGUGGAGUGAUGCCAUAGUGCGUCGUGGUCGUCGUCGUGCGUGCAUGCAUGCGUGGUCGGUUUGGUUGGUUGGUUGGUUUCCAGUUCAUC
rnacentral:lncRNA from 1 species